rnacentral:rRNA from 1 species
GACGAACGCUGGCGGCGUGCUUAACACAUGCAAGUCGAACGGAAAGGCCUUUCGGGGUACUCGAGUGGCGAACGGGUGAGUAACACGUGGGUGAUCUGCCCUGCACUUUGGGAUCAGCCUGGGAAACUGGGUCUAAUACCGAAUAUGUGCACUGGCUUCCUGGCGGGUGGUGGAAAGCUUUUGCGGGGUGGGAUGGGCCCGCGGCCUAUCAGCUUGUUGGUGGGGUAAUGGCAUACCAAGGCGACUGCGGGUAUCGGGCCUGAGGAGGGUGUCCGGCCACACUGGGACUGUGAUACGGCCCAGACUCCUACGGGAGGCAGCAGUUGGGAAUAUUGCACAAUGAGCGCAAGCCUGAUGCAGCGAGGCCGCGUGAGGGAUGACGGCCUUCGGGUUGUAAACCUCUUUCGCCAGGGACGAAGCGCAAGUGACGGUACCUGGAGAAGAAGCACCGGCCAACUACGUGCCAGCAGCCGCAGUAACAC